GAUGAACGCUGGCGGCGUGCCUAAUACAUGCAAGUCGAACGAAGAGCAUUAUAGCAAUAUGGUGCUUUUAGUGGCGAACGGGUGAGUAACGCGUUGGUGACCUGCCCCGAAGCGGGGGAUAACAGCUCGAAAGGGCUGCUAAUACCCCAUGUGGUCACGAGGGUUAGAUACCUUGUGUCUAAAGGAGUAAUCCACUUCGGGAGGGGCCUGCGUCCCAUCAGCUAGUUGGUAGGGUAAUGGCCUACCAAGGCGACGACGGGUAGGGGACCUGAGAGGGUGACCCCCCACACUGGCACUGAAACACGGGCCAGACACCUACGGGUGGCAGCAGUAGGGAAUAUUGCACAAUGGACGAAAGUCUGAUGCAGCAACGCCGCGUGCACGAUGAAGGCCUUCGGGUCGUAAAGUGCCUUUCGGGGAGAUGAGGAAGGACAGUAUCCCCGGAAUAAGGAUCGGCUAACUACGUGCCAGCAGCCGCGGUAAAACGUAGGAUCCGAGCGUUAUCCGAAUUUACUGGGCGUAAAGCGCGUGCAGGCGGUUCGGUAAGUUGGAUGUGAAAUCUCCUGGCUCAACUGGGAGAGGUCGUUCAAUACUGCCGGAC
rnacentral:rRNA from 1 species